rnacentral:rRNA from 1 species
GUCGGCAUGAAGUUUUCGGACGGAAUUGCCGAUUACUUAGCGGCGGACGGGUGAGUAACGCGUGGAUAAUCUGCCUAUCAGACCGGGAUAACCCUUGGAAACAGGGGCUAAUACCGGAUACGAACAUCGGGACACAAGUUCUGAUGUUGAAAGGGGAUUUACCGCUGAUAGAUGAGUCCGCGUCCCAUUAGCUAGUUGGUGGGGUAAUGGCCUACCAAGGCGACGAUGGGUAGCCGGCCUGAGAGGGUGACCGGCCACACUGGGACUGAGACACGGCCCAGACUCCUACGGGAGGCAGCAGUGGGGAAUAUUCCGCAAUGGGCGAAAGCCUGACGGAGCGACGCCGCGUGAGGGAAGAAGGUCUUCGGACUGUAAACUCUGUUGUAAGGGAAGAACACGUAUGAGAGUAACUGCUCGUACCUUGACGGUACCUUAUUAGAAAGCCACGGCUAACUACGUGCCAGCAGCCGCGGUAAUACGUAGGUGGCAAGCGUUGUCCGGAAUUAUUGGGCGUAAAGCGCGCGCAGGCGGUCCUUUAAGUCUGAUGUGAAAGCCCACGGCUCAACCGUGGAGGGUCAUUGGAAACUGGGGGACUUGAGUACAGAAGAGGAAAGCGGAAUUCCAAGUGUAGCGGUGAAAUGCGUAGAGAUUUGGAGGAACACCAGUGGCGAAAGCGGCCUUCUGGUCUGUAACUGACCCUGAGGCGCGAAAGCGUGGGGAACAAACAUGAUUAGAUUCCCUGGUAGU